rnacentral:lncRNA from 1 species
CGCGCUGGGGGUUAGGGCUUCAACAUAUGAAUAUUGCGGGGACACAGACAUUCAAUCCAUAAUAGCAAGUUUCAGUGGAUUUCAGAAGCCCCUAAGGCAGAAAAGCAAAAGCACCUUAUUUUUUGUCCACUUGACCUGUGUCUUAUGUUGGACUGAAAUGUAGCUGAAAUACAACAUCAUAAUUUUUACUGGAAAAUAGCCACAAUGAAGGAACACCACAAUUUCACCAUGAAAACCAGCACAACCUUACACAGAUGACAAACAUUUCCCCUCAAAACUUGUUAAACUGUAUUUGGGCUGACCAAAUUAACCAGAGUUAUUCUAUUUAUGGGGGAGCAGGAAGUAACUUGAUAAAAUGCUUUGAGUUUAUAUAUCAUGUCAAAUAAAUAGCAUAAUUUUAAAGGAAAAAAACUUGUUAGGCAAUGUUCUCUUAUUUUCUGACAUCACAUAUUGUGACAGAAUGUAAGGCCAACCUGGUUUUUACAAAUUCCGUGGUCUAAUUUUUUUGUUGUUGUUAGUGUAUAAAAAUAGCA